rnacentral:rRNA from 1 species
GUCUAUGGCCAUACCACUGUGAACAUGCCUGAUCUUGUCUGAUCUCAGAAGCUAAGCAGGGUCAGAUCUGGUUAGUACUUAGAUAGAAGUGUGAACUUAAUUCUCAAAACU